CGCUAAACGCACCUAUAUAAGAUGUUAGUGUGACGGUGUGAGGAGCACAUCGCAUCUAGCCGUGAUAGUACCCCUGUCUAGUGCCUUCUAGAUCCAGGAUUUUGUGCUGACAAGUGACAUCAAACAAUAUGAUGAAAUUGGUGGUACUUCUAGUCGCAGCGUUCCUGCUGGUUAGUCCAGCAGUGGGCAAGCCGCAGGUCCUCCUGGACUACGGGUACUACGCCCCAGGGUACGUCGCGUCCUACAGCACCCCACUCGCGUACUCCUACCCCUAUGCGUACGCCUAUUCGUACCCAUAUUACUUCCGUUAGAGAUUAUGAAUUCUAAUAUUAAGUACCUAUUUAAUGAAUUCUAAGUUAAAUAAUAACCGAUGUAUUACCUAGGGCGUAGCCAAGGUUAUGUAGGGCUGUUCUCAGAUUAAGAUAAUCUAAGAUUAUAUUGUUUUUUCUGUAACAAAAAUACUACGUUUGCAAAGUUUUUUUAGAAUGUUUUUGAUGUAAAAAAUAUAUUUUAAAAAUAACAUCCACCAUAGUUGGUUUUCGCAAGCCAGCCUUCAAGCCUGUUAGUUUCUUAGAUCUUAUAAGAAGCUUCACAAGGUAUGAAGCUCGACAAAAUUGUAGAAAACACAGACCGACCGUCUUUUCAAAGGAGGAUAGCUGCUCCUCCCAGACCGUACCUCGGUACGCCCAUAAUACUUAUACCCUAUUCAAAAUGCCACAACGUUACAGUUGUAAAAUAUCUUUUAUUGUUAGAUAAAUAUUUUAUUGUAAACAGUCAAUAGUAGGUACAACAAUCUUCCCAAAUUCAUUGCAAAGUCGCCUUUAUUACCUGUUUAAAUAGAUUUGAUUACCUACCUAACUAAUAAAAUAGUUUCAUUAUCUAGAUUAUCGAAGUGAUGUACCCAGAUAAAUCAUAUAUUUUUAUGUACUUGAUCAAUAUACUCACUACUUGAUUUGAUACAAACUUACCUAUCUAUUAGUUACUAGGUACUUAUAUUGUCUAUAGUAGGUAACUUGUUAAUUAUUUCCAUUUACUUACAUCCGAAUGUUUGUACAAUUUUAUGUUAAUACAAAAAUAUUAUUAUAAUACACUUUCAACGUUA